rnacentral:lncRNA from 1 species
CCUUUAGUAAUAUGACUGUUGGGUGGAUAAGAUCUGGGACAGGUGGCGCGUGGUGCGGCAACGGUGGAAGUUUCAACUAUGAAAGUCCUCAUGUCUCUCAUAUUCCUCACUUUGAGGAUUUGGUAGAUGUGGGUUUGGGUUGAGCAUCAAGAGGAAAUUCGUUCCAUAGUUUUACCUCGACCCCUUUAACAGUACGAUGUUCC